rnacentral:rRNA from 1 species
GCCAGUCUUAUCGGAAAAGGGGCGGGCCGUGAUAGCGGUGGCUUUAGGGGAGAAGGAGGAGUGAGGUUAAGUCUUUAGGGGUUUAGCUACAUCGGCCCUCGCUCUAUCCCUGAUGUCGGCCGCGCCCGGAGCAGCUGCCGAAGACGCCGUCGCGACGGCGCGCCCCUCCUGGCCGCUCCCGCUCCAACGACGAGACCUUCCCACCUCUACCACGCGCCGCCGGCCUGGUUCUCGUCGGCGACCGUAGCCAAACCUCGAUUCGAUCGAACGAACGAACCCAACUACGCCAGCGGCCUGUCUCCUCCUCCGUGGCGGCGUCGCCAUCUUCUGCUGCCUCCUCCUCCUCCUCUUGGAGGCGGGUGCCACUGCCUUGCUCAGGUGCUAUCUUUCCUAUUAGAGGGGUGUCAAGCCGACGAGAAGGGAGGGGUGGAAGAGCCGGUCCCACGACCCACCUCGCUCGCACCGAGCCUCUGCCGCUACCUCCGCCGAGAAGACCCGCCUAAGUAGUUCCAGUAGGACGGCUCCGAGAAGAGAGAGUAGCUGCUGUUCAUGUUCGACGUGUCCCCGCAGUUCUCGCUGCAGUCCAAGGAGCACUUCCUCGAGGCGUACUAGCAGCCGCGGUAGCUGCUGCUGCUCGAGAGCCGCUGGAGGAGGCGGCGGCGCGCGGAGAGCUAGGUCCUGGACGCGCUCGACCGGGUGCCGUAUCUCCUGACGUAGCUGCCGGAGUACAUAGCGCGGUGGACCCUCGUGGUCCGCAGGAAGGAGGCGGCCUCGCAAGCCGAAGCCGGGGGGUCCCGCGAGUUCUGGCCGCGCGUCGAGCGAGCCCUCUACGUCGCCGAGUCCGCCUACCGCUUCCUUCGCGUGCUCGCCUUCGCCUCCAUGCGCCGGCUGAAGGGGCGGCCGCCGGUCGGGAGGAGACGGUGCGUCGACCACCUGCUCAGCGGGAGGAGGGGCAGGCUAGGCGCGUAGGAACUGCGCCUAGACCAGCCGCAGCUCCCCGGGGAGCGCCUCGACGACCUCGUCGACCGACUCCCCGCUGGGUCGGUCGACUUCCACUAGCGGCAGCAGCCCAAAACGCCGAACCCCUUCUGGCGGGAGCGGCGCCUUCACAUGUUGGCUCUUUGGGCGUCGCUCUCUAAACUCUCCGUGCGCACCCAAAUACGCCGCGACUUCUCGGGUGCCCUCCACGAUCGCCUGGACGAGGCCUUUGAAUCGAGGCUGCGGGGAAGAACGGUCCCCUUUUCACAUGACCUCUGGAGGCUACAGCCGGUUGAGACGUGUCUUGACUUUGUUGUAAACCACUACUCCUCUAUAAAGUAACACUAACUACUGUAAGCUUGUCUUCUAGUCACCUUUUGGUAGUUUAGACGGAACGGUCGUCUAUUCCUAUAAUCGUCGUCUUAUGACCACUGCUGCUGAUAAGUCAGUCAUCGAUUACGGACGUCAAGAUCAUUACCGAUACAAGUGUUUUACUCGUCUGAACUAUUUUACACGAGCUUUGUUAACAAGUGGUUCUUUCGAACAGGCCUGUUUAUAAGUACAAUGUUCGUCGGACUAGGUCGCCUUCAAAACUUCUUUACACUGCCGGUCGGUGAACGCGACCACUGUUAUCCACUUAAGAACGUUCGUUUCCCAACCGGUUGUCCUGGAUCGACACUUCUGUAGACGUGGGUCUAUCCAAUAGUGGACCUCUUACUGUUCUCGAAGCUUUUUUACGCUGCACACGACUAAGUAUUGAUGUGGUGAGACGGAUCGGUACGAGAGUUUCGGACGAACGAUAUAAAACCAUACAAGGGUUCAUUAGCAGGGUAGUCCUUCUUUUCAGAAAACUCUGCUACCGAACGACUCCCUAAACAUCUUGGCGUUGGAAGCGGCUCGAGGGGCCUAGGGUAUCGACGAAAGUUAAGGGAGUACCUAGCUUUGUAGUAACUCGGUUAGUUAAACUCGUUGUUACUAUUACACUUCUGAACAGUUUGUAUACCGUACUACGCACUCAAGUAAAACGUGUACAGGUAGAGAGUCUUGAAGCAAUGAAACAAAACGUUACUGUUCUAUCUCGGGUUUAUGCAAGCAGCCGAAAGAGAGGUACUCUCGAGACGAUGUCAACAACUGUCAAAAUCGUGACAACUAAAUAGUGAACAGGCCAGAGAUCGUUAGAAGCCCUUCCGUUCAGUUUGACAUAACCUGGAGUCGUUCAUGGUAGAAGACGCUCAUAACCUAGAACUUUUUACACUCCUCAACUUCCUACUAGUACAGUUUCUGUAUACGUUGGACGACGAAGAUUUUAUAGACUCGGAACCCCCACCACAAUGGUGUUAAGGUUCUCUAUAACAAUUUGACUUUGUAAACCAUAGUGAACUACAUUCCUCUUGUUUCCAUGUCUAUGACGUACAUCUUCAGAAGGUCAACGGUAGAAAUUAAGUGAAUAAACCCUUCAAAUUCGAAUGUCUAUAACAGUUCGGUUUUUCACUUCAUGUACUCAAAGAGAGGUUUCCUUUUUCAUUGAAUCUUUGCGAUCGUCCUAAACAAUGGCUACCAUCACCUCCCAAGGACGUAGAAUACCCGAUAUACUUAUUUGACUCAUUCCACUUCUAAAACACACUCAACGGACGUCCGACACGACUGGCUUGACUAGAAUUCCUCCGGUAAGUUGUCAAGUAACUCCUACUUUUCGUCCGUUUAUAACCAAGAGCGAGAAAUAGCGAAGUAAAGCCGUUUACGACACUUCUCGAGGACUUAAGGAAUUUUCCUGGGACGAUGGAGUCGAGUGACUUUAACGUACCACUGAACCGACGUGGAGGAGUCAAACAACACAGUGAAGCCCCGGAGUCCCUCGACACGGAAACCAGAUGAUCUAACUGUCGCCCACAAGAACUUCGAAACUCAUUAAACUCGAUGGACGUCAUGAACUUUGACCAACGACUACUGGAACUGUUCAAGCAGCAUUCUCUGGUCCGCAAGACGUCCGAAGAUGCGGAAAGAAACCUCGACGUUACAGGUUGAAAGGGGUGUUAUCUUCUUCCCCGAGACGGUAAGGAACAGUGUGAGGUCGACGAGACAUUUCUAGACGUGCCGGAAAGACUGGAGUUUUAUCUUGUAGAGUUUGUGGAGUUCCUCCAGUGAGAACUGGGAUCUCAGUGAGGUUGUUGUUCUCCUUGUACCCUCUUCCGACGAUCCCUCGUAGGCUUGUCCGGUUUCCAAAACGACGAGUUUAGACAACUACGUCGUGUUUCACUCGAACGUCUGAUGUGAUAUCGCAGUCUCGGUCGACUUUCACGGUAAGUUCUUUGAUCAUAAGGUCGUGAUGAAUUGGUCCCCGACCACCGUAGUAGGAGACACUACUCCCUUGUCUCGUGAAGACAAAACUCGUUAUACCCCGAGAGUCUCCAAAGAAGACGAAAUUGUACUAAACCGCUGGAGACUGCUAGCCAUCGAAAAGGCUAUUUACCGAGAAAAUAAUAGAAUUUACAGCGUAGUUCGCCUAUAUUUAGUAAUGAUCUUCCCAACCCGCGCGAAACGACGCGGCAACCACAACAACCUAAAGAAUUUUUUUUGAGUGAGACAAAAUUUUAUAUAACACAUAUUAAAAAAACUUUUCAGUUUUAAAAUUUUAAGCUAGUUUAAACAUCUUUCUAUAUUGUUUUAGGUAUUAUAGUUUAGCCAUACUAUCUAAGUAGUACUUUACCCAAAGGUAUGAAAAAACAAAUUAUAACACCUACAACUAUAAAAACGAGCCUUGAACUAUUUUCAAUUUCUUCAAACUAAAAGGUUUUUUGAUUAUGGGAAUAUAAAACAUCGAAUACUAUAUAAAACAAACCGCCCUCACACAAAUAAAAAUAAAUAUUACGUCGCUAAACUACACUGAAAACAUGACACCAGACACAAUAGACGAUUGGUUGUAUAUGAAUACACCCCUUUAAGGUGUAACUACCGGCGUACAUGAUAUUAACACAAUGUAAUAGUGUACUACCGAAAAAA